rnacentral:rRNA from 1 species
GACGCAACGCGCAGAACCUUACCAGCCCUUGACAUGUCCAGGACCGGUCGCAGAGAUGUGACCCUCUCUUCGGAGCCUGGAGCACAGGUGCUGCAUGGCUGUCGUCAGCUCGUGUCGUGAGAUGUUGGGUUAAGUCCCGCAACGAGCGCAACCCCCGCCUUUAGUUGCUACCAUUCAGUUGAGCACUCUAAAGGGACCGCCGGCGUUAAGCCGGAGGAAGGUGGGGAUGACGUCAAGUCCUCAUGGCCCUUAUGUCCAGGGCUACACACGUGCUACAAUGGGCGGUACAGAGGGUUGCCAACCCGCGAGGGGGAGCCAAUCCCAGAAAGCCGUCCUCAGUUCAGAUUGGAGUCUGCAACUCGACUCCAUGAAGGUGGAAUCGCUAGUAAUCGCCGGUAUCCAGCCAUGCCGACGUGAAAGUAACGUUCCGGGCCGUU